CCUACGGGAGGCAGCAGUGGGGAAUCUUCCGCAAUGGACGAAAGUCUGACGGAGCAACGCCGCGUGAACGAUGACGGCCUUCGGGUUGUAAAGUUCUGUUAUACGGGACGAAUGGUACGACGGUCAAUACCCGUCGUAAGUGACGGUACCGUAAGAGAAAGCCACGGCUAACUACGUGCCAGCAGCCGCGGUAAUACGUAGGUGGCAAGCGUUGUCCGGAAUUAUUGGGCGUAAAGGGCGCGCAGGCGGCGUCGUAAGUCGGUCUUAAAAGUGCGGGGCUUAACCCCGUGAGGGGACCGAAACUGCGAUGCUAGAGUAUCGGAGAGGAAAGCGGAAUUCCUAGUGUAGCGGUGAAAUGCGUAGAUAUUAGGAGGAACACCAGUGGCGAAAGCGGCUUUCUGGACGACAACUGACGCUGAGGCGCGAAAGCCAGGGGAGCAAACGGGAUUAGAUACCCGAGUAGUC
rnacentral:rRNA from 1 species